rnacentral:rRNA from 1 species
CAUGCAAGUCGAGCGGUAGCACAGAGAGCUUGCUCUCGGGUGACGAGCGGCGGACGGGUGAGUAAUGUCUGGGAAACUGCCUGAUGGAGGGGGAUAACUACUGGAAACGGUAGCUAAUACCGCAUAACGUCGCAAGACCAAAGUGGGGGACCUCCGGGCCUCAUGCCAUCAGAUGUGCCCAGAUGGGAUUAGCUAGUAGGUGGGGUAA